UGUGAACUCGAAGAGUAGGGCGGGACACGUGGUAUCCUGUCUGAAUAUGGGGGGACCAUCCUCCAAGGCUAAAUACUCCUGACUGACCGAUAGUGAACCAGUACCGUGAGGGAAAGGCGAAAAGAACCCCGGCGAGGGGAGUGAAAAAGAACCUGAAACCGUGUACGUACAAGCAGUAGGAGCCCACUGGUUGGGUGACUGCGUACCUUUUGUAUAAUGGGUCAGCGACUUAUAUUCUGUAGCAAGGUUAACCGUAUAGGGGAGCCGCAGGGAAACCGAGUCUUAACUGGGCGUUAAGUUGCAGGGUAUAGACCCGAAACCCGGUGAUCUAGCCAUGGGCAGGUUGAAGGUUGGGUAACACUAACUGGAGGACCGAACCGACUAAUGUUGAAAAAUUAGCGGAUGACUUGUGGCUGGGGGUGAAAGGCCAAUCAAACCGGGAGAUAGCUGGUUCUCCCCGAAAGCUAUUUAGGUAGCGCCUCGUGAACUCAUCUUCGGGGGUAGAGCACUGUUUCGGCUAGGGGGUCAUCCCGACUUACCAACCCGAUGCAAACUACGAAUACCGAAGAAUGUUAUCACGGGAGACACACGGCGGGUGCUAACGUCCGUCGUGAAGAGGGAAACAACCCAGACCGCCAGCUAAGGUCCCAAAGUCAUGGUUAAGUGGGAAACGAUGUGGGAAGGCCCAGACAGCCAGGAUGUUGGCUUAGAAGCAGCCAUCAUUUAAAGAAAGCGUAAUAGCUCACUGGUCGAGUCGGCCUGCGCGGAAGAUGUAACGGGGCUAAACCAUGCACCGAAGCUGCGGCAGCGACACUAUGUGUUGUUGGGUAGGGGAGCGUUCUGUAAGCCGUUGAAGGUGGCCUGUGAGGGUUGCUGGAGGUAUCAGAAGUGCGAAUGCUGACAUAAGUAACGAUAAUGCGGGUGAAAAACCCGCACGCCGGAAGACCAAGGGUUCCUGUCCAACGUUAAUCGGGGCAGGGUGAGUCGACCCCUAAGGCGAGGCCGAAAGGCGUAGUCGAUGGGAAACAGGUUAAUAUUCCUGUACUCGGUGUUACUGCGAAGGGGGGACGGAGAAGGCUAUGUUGGCCGGGCGACGGUUGUCCCGGUUUAAGCAUGUAGGCGGAUGUUCCAGGUAAAUCCGGAACGUCACUAACGCUGAGGUGUGAUGACGAGGCACUACGGUGCUGAAGUGACAAAUGCCCUGCUUCCAGGAAAAGCCUCUAAGCAUCAGGUAACAUCAAAUCGUACCCCAAACCGACACAGGUGGUCAGGUAGAGAAUACCAAGGCGCUUGAGAGAACUCGGGUGAAGGAACUAGGCAAAAUGGUGCCGUAACUUCGGGAGAAGGCACGCUGAUGGUA
rnacentral:rRNA from 1 species